CAAUUGGAGGGGCGACUGGGGACGUUGCUUUGGAGCGGUAUGGUGUGGUUGAGGGUUUUGUAGUGGUCCAACUAAGUUAGUUUAUAUAUAACAGGAGCUACCGGUGUGUCGUGUGCGAGCUGGAGUUCCACAGCGAGGAGCUGGUGGUGCGGCACCACCGCGACGACCACAGCCAGCACGGACACACCUGCCACGUGUGCCAGCGCCGGUUCCAGUCCAACGAAGAAACUGUAUCAGUUACAUCGGCGUAACAGUCACAAGGCUCGUAAAAAGUGCCCCAUUUGUAAGAAGGUGUUAGGACCCAACGCAGACCUGAAGAAACAUAUGCUAAAGAAGAAGACGCAUACUGCGCGGAGUGUGAUGUACAGUUUAAGGCUGAAUAUAUAUAUAGGAUGCAUCUACGCACUAGUCUCAAACAUAACACCGACGAAGACCUCAAACACAAAUGUCCCCACUGUGACAAGAGAUGCAAGUUUGCUUCUCUACUCAAACAUCACAUAGAGUCGGUACACACGAAGGAAAUGAUCUACUCAUGCCAACUGUGCGACCAAGUAAGACCACUAAUAUCCU